GACGAACGCUGGCGGCGUGCUUAACACAUGCAAGUCGAACGAAGUGGCGAACGGGUGAGUAACGCGUAAUCAACCUGCCCUUCAGAGGGGGACAACAGUUGGAAACGACUGCUAAUACCGCAUACGGAAGGAGGGGAUUGCGUGUGAUUAGGUAGUUGGAGGGGUAACGGCCCACCAAGGCGAUGAUCAGUAGCCGGUCUGAGAGGAUGAACGGCCACAUGGGGAAUGGGGCACGGCCCAGACUCCCACGGGGAGGCGCCGUGGGGGAUCUUCGUCAAUGGACGACAGUCUGAAGGAGCAACGCCGCGUGGGUGAUGGCGGCCUUCGGGUUGUAAAGCUCUGUUAAUCGGGGCGCGGUACCGGAAUAGAAAGCCACGGCUAACUACGUGCCAGCAGCCGCGGUAAUUC
rnacentral:rRNA from 1 species